AGAUCGAUGAACUGAGGACCGAGAUGGACGAGAUGAGGGACACGUUCUUCGAGGAGGAUGCUUGUCAGCUGCAAGAAAUGCGCCACGAGCUGGAGCGAGCCAACAAAAAUUGCCGAAUCCUCCAGUACCGGCUGCGCAAGGCGGAGCGCAAGAGGCUCCGCUACGCGCAGACCGGGGAGAUUGACGGGGAGCUCUUGCGCAGCAUGGAGCAGGACCUCAAGGUUGCAAAGGAUGUAUCGGUGAGACUUCAUCAUGAAUUAGAAAACGUGGAAGAAAAACGUACCGUGACAGAAGAUGAAAAUGAAAAAUUAAGACAGCAGCUUAUAGAAGUUGAAAUUGCAAAACAGGCACUACAGAAUGAACUGGAAAAGAUGAAAGAGCAAUCACUGAAAAGAAGAGGGAGCAAAGACUUGCAAAAAUCAGAAAAAAAGUCCCAGCAGACACCAACAGAGGAGGAUAAUGAAGACCUGAAAUGCCAGUUGCAAUUUGUCAAAGAGGAAGCGGCCUUGAUGAGGAAGAAAAUGGCUAAGAUUGAUAAGGAGAAAGACAGAUUUGAGCACGAGCUGCAGAAAUAUAGAUCAUUUUAUGGCGAUUUGGACAGUCCCUUGCCAAAAGGUGAAGCAGGUGGGCCACCUACUACAAGAGAAGCUGAACUCAAGCUUCGAUUGAGACUUGUGGAGGAGGAAGCGAACAUUCUUGGGAGGAAAAUAGUGGAACUAGAAGUAGAGAACCGAGGACUAAAGGCAGAGCUUGAUGAUUUAAGAGGAGAUGAUUUCUCAGGGACUGCUAAUCCACUCCUGGGAGAACAGAGUGAAUCCCUGUCAGAACUGCGACAGCAUUUGCAGUUAGUAGAAGAUGAGACAGAAUUGCUGAGGAGAAAUUUAGCUGAUGUGGAAGAACAAAACAAGCGCAUAACAGCUGAGUUGAACAAAUAUAAGUACAAAUCUGGGGCCCAUGAGAGCUCUAGGCACCAUGAUAAUGCCAAGACAGAAGCACUACAGGAGGAGCUAAAAGCUGCACGAAUGCAAAUCAACGAGCUGAGUGGCAAAGUCAUGCAAUUGCAGUACGAGAACAGAGUAUUAAUGUCCAACAUGCAGCGCUAUGAUUUGGCCUCUCAUCUUGGGAUCCGUGGCAGUCCUAGAGACAGUGAUGCUGAGAGCGAUGCAGGAAAAAAAGAAAGCGAUGAUGAUUCCCGCCCCCCUCACCGCAAAAGGGAAGGCCCCAUUGGUGGGGAAAGUGACUCUGAAGAGGUACGAAAUAUCCGAUGCCUGACACCCACGAGGUCUUUUUAUCCUUCACCAAGUGGGUGGCAGAAGAGCUUCACCGACAGGCAGCAGAUGAAGGACAUCCGCUCCGAAGCGGAGCGACUAGGCAAGACAAUAGAUCGCCUGAUUUCUGACACAAGUACCAUCAUAACGGAGGCAAGAAUAUUUGUAGCCAAUGGGGAUCUGUUUGGACUGAUGGAUGAAGAGGACGAUGGCAGCAGAAUACGUGAGCAUGAGCUUCUGUACCGGAUCAAUGCGCAGAUGAAGGCGUUCAGGAAGGAGCUCCAGACUUUCAUCGACAGACUUGAAGUUCCAAAGUCAUCCGAUGACCGAAGUGCAGAUGAACCUUUGUCAGUGAGUCAGAUGUUCCAGCCUAUCAUUUUACUUAUUCUCAUCCUUGUAUUAUUUUCAUCCCUUUCAUACACAACAAUAUUUAAGCUUGUCUUCCUUUUUACACUGUUUUUUGUACUGUAAGCCAUUCAUCAUUUACUAUUCAUUGUAGUAUUAUUUUCAGUUUGUUUAUUUUGUCCACCCUCCAAGAUAAGAACUGCAAGAGACAUAGUUUCUGUAAUAGCCACUGCUGUAAAAACACUGAAGACUACUUGUUUGCCAAAAACAAAAAAGACAAAACCAAAAAAGCAAAACAUAUACCAAAAAGUCACCCGGUUCAAUAGGAAACUCUCUCACCAAGGUAUUCCAGAUCAAGAUUUGCAGAACUGGAUCUCAGCUAGCUAUGCCUUUCAUUGCUUUUGCUGCUGUUUAGAAAUGGACUG